CUUGAGAGUGGCGAACGGGUGAGUAAUAUAUCGGAACGUGCCCAGUCGUGGGGGAUAACGUAGCGAAAGUUACGCUAAUACCGCAUACGAUCUAUGGAUGAAAGCGGGGGACCGUAAGGCCUCGCGCGAUUGGAGCGGCCGAUGUUAGAUUAGGUAGUUGGUGAGGUAAAGGCUCACCAAGCCUACGAUCAGUAGCUGGUCUGAGAGGACGAUCAGCCACACUGGAACUGAGACACGGUCCAGACUCC
rnacentral:rRNA from 1 species